rnacentral:rRNA from 1 species
GACGUAGGGCGCGAGCGUUGUCCGGAUUUAUUGGGCGUAAAGAGCUCGUAGGCGGUUUGUCGCGUCGUUCGUGAAAACUCACAGCUUAACUGUGAGCUUGCGGUCGAUACGGGCAGGCUAGAGUUCGGUAGGGGAGACUGGAAUUCCUGGUGUAGCGGUGAAAUGCGCAGAUAUCAGGAGGAACACCGGUGGCGAAGGCGGGUCUCUGGGCCGACACUGACGCUGAGGAGCGAAAGCGUGGGGAGCGAACAGG